rnacentral:tRNA from 1 species
GGAGUGGUAGUUCAGUUGGUUAGAAUACCGGCCUGUCACGCCGGGGGCCGCGGGUUCGAGUCCCGUCCACUCCG